ensembl:lncRNA
CUGGAGAGUUAAAUGUCAGUAGUGGGUAAAUUCAGCAGUUGAUAACAAAACUAUUAAGUUUUUCCUGUUUUAACACCAAUGUGAGAUAUAGAGGCGCACAUAUAGUGUGUGCUCUAGUGUAAGCUGCUCUUCAUUGCAUGUAUGGCCUCUGGGCCUGUCUCACCCAGAAGGGCAUUUUCUUAACAGUUGCCUUUCACUCGCGUGUGUUAAGAAAGGCAAAUGUGCUUGUAGCAGUUGUGAGAUUAUUAUGCUGUCAUAUAUUACAUUAUACCUGUAAUCAAAAUGAGUGAAUCAUAAUACUGCUGGAGGCCACAUCAUACUUCUUGUGUAAUCAGUAUGUAGUUUUAGUUUGCAUCACACUUCUUAGUUAAAAGAAUGUGAAAAUCAUUAGAUUUAUUAGAUAGGUUUGUAUUAUCCUAUACUGCUGAUUUACUGCUGAUUCACUGUGAGUUACGCUGUUUCAUGACAUUUCAUACUGCCGAGUUAUGAAGAGAAUAUUGUAUUCAGAGAGUAGGGGCCUCUCUCUUUUUUUUUUUUCUUUGUGAUAGUAAAGAGAACAGAGCACAUGCCACGGGAGCGUCACCCCCACCCUUGGUGGAAGCAGAAAAACAGGGAGCCAAGGUCAUAACUCAGGCUCACAAAGAGUCAGAAAGAAUGUGAAUACUUAGUUUUUUGGCUGUGGCGCAUUUUGUAUAGCUUCUUUUCUUUGUUUAGUAGCUUUCUGCCUUCACCUGAGGGUGUGCCCUAAGCAUGUGACUUCAGGUCUCCAUAAUUGGAGUUUAUUUAAAGAUAAAUAAGAUGAUUUCAUAUAUUGCUCGCAGAUCAUGCACUAGACGGUAUGUUGCAGUAUUAGCCUGCUUCAACACUUAAGCAAAACAUCACUCUUUGUUUUAUUAU